rnacentral:lncRNA from 1 species
GACUGACACAUAUCUUAUUUCUAGGAUAUGAUUUUAUACUUAUUAGAUAUUUAUAUUACCAUUUAUAUUUUAUGUAUCCAUGAAUCAUCCAAGAGAUUAACAAGAUAAUGAUAUAUAUUCUCAAAGAGUUGAGAAUUUAAGACAUGUGUCAUUGAUGGUUAAUUCCUAAAUUACUCUUGAUCAUAGGAUUAUCAUGGGGAUGGUGAUUGAUCCAGAUAGAUCAGUGCAUGGAUCACUUCCUUCGGAC